rnacentral:rRNA from 1 species
AACGGGGGGGACUAGUGGUUAUUCAUCAUUACUGGGUGUAAAAGCGCAUGUAGAUGUUUUAUUAAGUUUUAAUUAUGACAAUCCAAGCCAAACUUGGAAGAUAAUUUUUAUACUGAUAAAAUUGAGGUCAAAGGAGGAAGGGCUAUAUUUCUGACGUAGGGAUGAAAUCUUAAGAGUUUGGGGGAAUAACCAAUAGGACGAAAGCAGCGUUCCACGAUGAUUCUGACAUUGAAGUGCUAAAGUGUGGGGCGCAAAUGGGAUUAAGAAA